GGAGAUUUGUGCAGAGGCAAAGUCUACGUCAGGCGGCGAGGUUUCUUAGGCAGGCCAGUAGUCGGAGGACGAUGCGUGAGCCGUCUAUGUUGGUCCGAGAGACGGCUGCGGAGCAAUUGGAGGAGAGGCAGAGUGAUUGGGCGUAUUCGAAGCCGGUUGUUAUUCUUGACAUCGUCUGGAAUUUCGCUUUUGUUGUUGUUGCUGCUACCGUUUUGGUUCUCAGCCGCAACGAGUCUCCUUCAAUGCCUUUGAGAC
rnacentral:misc_RNA from 1 species